CUGGCGCUGCUAUACUGCAGUCGACGAAACUUUCUUACACCGAAUGCUUGCAUUCACCGUAAGAAGUUGAGUGGCGGACGGGUGAGUAACACGUGGGUAACCUGCCUAAAAGAAGGGGAUAACACUUGGAAACAGGUGCUAAUACCGUAUAUCUCUAAGGAUCGCAUGAUCCUUAGAUGAAAGAUGGUUCUGCUAUCGCUUUUAGAUGGACCCGCGGCGUAUUAACUAGUUGGUGGGGUAACGGCCUACCAAGGUGAUGAUACGUAGCCGAACUGAGAGGUUGAUCGGCCACAUUGGGACUGAGACACGGCCCAAACUCCUACGGGAGGCAGCAGUAGGGAAUCUUCCACAAUGGACGCAAGUCUGAUGGAGCAACGCCGCGUGAGUGAAGAAGGUCUUCGGAUCGUAAAACUCUGUUGUUAGAGAAGAACACGAGUGAGAGUAACUGUUCAUUCGAUGACGGUAUCUAACCAGCAAGUCACGGCUAACUACGUGCCAGCAGCCGCGGUAAUACGUAGGUGGCAAGCGUUGUCCGGAUUUAUUGGGCGUAAAGGGAACGCAGGCGGUCUUUUAAGUCUGAUGUGAAAGCCUUCGGCUUAACCGGAGUAGUGCAUUGGAAACUGGAAGACUUGAGUGCAGAAGAGGAGAGUGGAACUCCAUGUGUAGCGGUGAAAUGCGUAGAUAUAUGGAAGAACACCAGUGGCGAAAGCGGCUCUCUGGUCUGUAACUGACGCUGAGGUUCGAAAGCGUGGGUAGCAAACAGGAUUAGAUACCCUGGUAGUCCACGCCGUAAACGAUGAAUGCUAGGUGUUGGAGGGUUUCCGCCCUUCAGUGCCGCAGCUAACGCAAUAAGCAUUCCGCCUGGGGAGUACGACCGCAAGGUUGAAACUCAAAGGAAUUGACGGGGGCCCGCACAAGCGGUGGAGCAUGUGGUUAAUUCGAACAACGCGAAGAACCUUACCAGGUCUUGACUCCUUUGACCCCUAAGAGAUU
rnacentral:rRNA from 1 species